rnacentral:rRNA from 1 species
CCCUUAGAUGUUCUGGGCCGCACGCGCGCUACACUGAUGGAUGCAACGAGCUCUACCCUUGACCGAAAGGCCCGGGUAAACUUGUGAAACUUCAUCGUGAUGGGGAUAGAUUAUUGCAAUUAUUAAUCUUCAACGAGGAAUUCCUAGUAAGCGCGAGUCAUCAGCUCGCGUUGAUUACGUCCCUGCCCUUUGUACACACCGCCCGUCGCUCCUACAGAUUGAAUGGUCCGGUGAAAUCUUCGGAUUGCUGACCAAGAUCCAGCAAUGGAGCUUGGUUGCGAGAAGUUGAUUAAACCUUAUUAUUUAGAGGAAGGAGGAGUCGUAACA